rnacentral:rRNA from 1 species
GAUGAACGCUGGCGGCGUGCCUAAUACAUGCAAGUCGAGCGAAUGGAUUAAGAGCUUGCUCUUAUGAAGUUAGCGGCGGACGGGUGAGUAACACGUGGGUAACCUGCCCAUAAGACUGGGAUAACUCCGGGAAACCGGGGCUAAUACCGGAUAACAUUUUGAACCGCAUGGUUCGAAAUUGAACGGCGGCUUCGGCUGUCACUUAUGGAUGGACCCGCGGCGCAUUAGCUAGUUGGUGAGGUAACGGCUCACAAAGGCAACGAUGCGUAGCCGACCUGAGAGGGUGAUCGGCCACACUGGGACUGAGACACGGCCCAGACUCCUACGGGAGGCAGCAGUAGGGAAUCUGCCGCAAUGGACGAGAGUCUGACGGAGCAACGCCGCGUGAGUGAUGAAGGCUUUCGGGUCGUAAAACUCUGUUGUUAGGGAAGAACAAGUGCUAGUUGAAUAAGCUGGCACCUUGACGGUACCUAACCAGAAAGCCACGGCUAACUACGUGCCAGCAGCCGCAGUAA